rfam:Gossypium hirsutum cultivar TM-1 chromosome 11, whole genome shotgun sequence
AUGCCAUGAUGAGGCCAUUUUUGUAAUAACUCCUUGAACUACUCCCAUGCCUCAUAUAAAUAAGAAACAUUCAACCAACAUUUUGCAUGU